UGGGCCUGUAACCCAAGCGGGAGUAUUAAGAUUGUGGGAGACUUAUGGAAGCCCAUCGAACGGCUUGGGCCUAGUAUCCUCUUAUAUGAAGGUCCAGUACAAAUACCCAACAGGUAAUGAUGGGUUGUCCACCCCCUAUCCUACCCGUUUGGGUAUUUGUCCCUGACGGCUGACUUAACAGAGCGGUCGUGCAGCGUUCACCUUCUUUGGUUGGUGUCAUUUAGGUGGAUCUCAUAUUAGAUUUCUAUGGCCCAAUACGAUCUUAUGGGCUUAUAACUUGGACCACUCUUUUUGCCCAAACCUUAGCGCUCAGACAGUGUCAUCUCUCAAACUCGAACCAACAUGCAUUAUCAAGAAAAAGUCCCAUAUUAGAUUUCUAUGGCCCAAUACAACCUUCUGGGCUUAUAACUUGGACCAUUAUUUUU
rnacentral:lncRNA from 1 species